GCGCGGGAAGCUUGUCUGAUCCCUUCGGGGUGACGCGAGUGGAACGAGCGGCGGACGGGUGAGUAACACGUGGGCAACCUGCCUGUAAGACUGGGAUAACUCCGGGAAACCGGGGCUAAUACCGGAUAAUACAUUGGUUCGCAUGAAGCAAUGUUGAAAGAUGGCUUUUAGCUAUCACUUACAGAUGGGCCCGCGGCGCAUUAGCUAGUUGGUAAGGUAAUGGCUUACCAAGGCAACGAUGCGUAGCCGACCUGAGAGGGUGAUCGGCCACACUGGGACUGAGACACGGCCCAGACUCCUACGGGAGGCAGCAGUAGGGAAUCUUCCGCAAUGGACGAAAGUCUGACGGAGCAACGCCGCGUGAACGAAGAAGGUUUUCGGAUCGUAAAGUUCUGUUGUUAGGGAAGAACAAGUACCGUUCAAAUAGGGCGGUACCUUGACGGUACCUAUCGAGGAAGCCCCGGCUAACUACGUGCCAGCAGCCGCGGUAAUACGUAGGGGGCAAGCGUUGUCCGGAAUUAUUGGGCGUAAAGCGCGCGUAGGCGGUUUCUUAAGUCUGAUGUGAAAUCUUGCG
rnacentral:rRNA from 1 species